rnacentral:rRNA from 1 species
UACGAAGGGUGCAAACGUUGCUCGGAAUUAUUGGGCGUAAAGCGCACGUAGGCGGCUUGGCAAGUCGGAUGUGAAAUCCCUCGGCUCAACCAAGGAAGUGCAUCCGAAACUGCUGAGCUUGAGUACGAAAGGAGGAUCGCGGAAUUCCCGGUGUAGAGGUGAAAUUCGUAGAUAUCGGGAGGAACACCGGUGGCGAAAGCGGCUCACUGGCCGGAAUCUGACACUGAGGUGCGAAAGCUAGGGUAGCAAACGGG